rnacentral:misc_RNA from 1 species
UUUCCGUAGGUGAACCUGCGGAAGGAUCAUUACCACGCAAGGCGAAGCGCAGCGGAGCGAGGGGCGCAAGCCCCGAGCGACGCUGAGCCGAGCCAAAACACCCAUUCCGCUGUGCCUCGCCUCGUGCCGGGCCCAGCAGUGAACCAAUCGUUACAGCGCUCCCAGCUGAGUGGGCGGGCGGGCCUAGGCUCACCCGCGGCUGGUACAGCAGCGCUCAAUCAAAUUCCCCCACACAAACACACACCCAAUCAAACCAUACGCCUCGGCAUUCACUGGCAGUGGGCGCUCACGCGCCCUUAGCCUACCAUUACAAACGCUUACAACUUUCAGCAACGGAUAUCUUGGCUCUU